GUGGGGAAUAUUGGACAAUGGGCGCAAGCCUGAUCCAGCCAUGCCGCGUGAGUGAUGAAGGCCUUAGGGUUGUAAAGCUCUUUCACCGAUGAAGAUAAUGACGGUAGUCGGAGAAGAAGCCCCGGCUAACUUCGUGCCAGCAGCCGCGGUAAUACGAAGGGGGCUAGCGUUGUUCGGAUUUACUGGGCGUAAAGCGCACGUAGGCGGUUUGUUAAGUCAGGGGUGAAAUCCCGGAGCUCAACUCCGGAAAUGCCUUUGAUACUGGCAAGCUAGAGUCCGGAAGAGGUAAGUGGAACUCCUAGUGUAGAGGUGGAAUUCGUAGAUAUUAGGAAGAACACCAGUGGCGAAGGCGGCUUACUGGUCCGGAACUGACGCUGAGGUGCGAAAGCGUGGGGAGCAAACAGGAUUAGAAACCCCGGUAGUCC
rnacentral:rRNA from 1 species